UUUUUCUAUCACUGAGCCUUCCGUGAUGUCCUCAAAGUAUCGUGCUACUUUGUUAGCACAGCUGUCUUUCCAACUGAAGCUGCCAACAGAUCUGCACUCUAGGGAGUUUAAAAAGUAUAUAAAGGUGGGAGGAGUGUAUAAAGGGAGGUCUUUUCUGACGUUUCAGCUUGCAGGAUUUAAAUAAUUUGCACGUGGAGAAUUUCUCAGUUAUUAUCCCAGGUCCAGCGCCUCAGAAGUCUCAUAUGAACCUGUGAUCUAAAGGUAUCUGCUUCGUGCUGCACACAAAAGGAGUUUGAGAAACGUUUGGAAACGUUCCUUGUGAAUCUGUAACUCUCUUAUAGGACUUUCUGAAACACCAUGAAGUGGCUUUUAAGACCUGGCAUCACUGUGAUGGUUUACCUGCUGAUGCAGCAGUGCCAAGCCUUCAUCG